rnacentral:lncRNA from 1 species
CGGAUUGGGUCGCAACAACAGAUUCACCAUUAGGAAGGCCAACCGGACACUCAAACAACGCUAUAGUAUCAAAUAACCAAGAUAAAUCACCGGUCACGUGAUGAGUUGCCCCGGUGUCAAUGAUCCAUGACUUCGUGUCAAACUUACCAUUCAACCUGUCAUCCGGAACUUGAGCAUUACCAAUUAAGCCCGCAAGAGCUUUCCAUUGUUCGGGUGUGAAGAGUUGAUCGGUAGAACUUUUAGUAGAGGAUGCUCCAAUUGUGCUACUUGCCGCGUUAGCACGAGCUGAACCACGCCCACGACCAGCCUGCUGACGACUACGUCCAGCACCCCCAUCAGCCUUGUUUUGAUCCAACCACCCCUCAGGAUAACCCACUAUUUCAUAACAAUUAUUUUUGUCAUGGCCAUGCUUGUGACAGUGAGGACAAGCAACGAGGGACCAGCAAGUUGAAGUCUCAUGCCCCGUCUUCUUGCAGUGGCUACACACAGGCCUCUCCGUUUUUCCUCGUCCUCUUCCAGCACCUGUACGGACAGCAAAGCCAAGGACCUCUGCUGGCUUGUCUUUUGUGACUGCCUUGGCGAGCCGCACACGCUCAUCUUGUAUCACCAGUUGGUACGCUCGAUCAAGCGAAGGCAAGGGAUCUUGAGAAAGGAUAUUGGUUCGUAAUUGAGCGUACAGAUCAGUGUUGAGUCCCAUCAAGAAGUCAUGUAAUUUUUCUUGUUCACAUCUUGCUUGGUGCAAUGAUGCGGCAGUACAAGACGAACAACAAGUGCAAGAAAUUAGCGGUUCAUGCUUAAAUAAUUCCUCCCAUAAUACAUUCAAUUUGCCAUAGUAAGUUGUAACAGACAUAGAUUUCGAUUGCUCACACUUAGCAAUUGAAGUCUUUAACUGUUGAAUUCUUGGGCCAUUAACCAUAGCAUAUCGUUGCUUAAGAUGCUCUCAUAAGCGUUUUGCAUCACGAAAUUUAGAUAGGGUACUCUUUACCUCGGGAUCGAUUGUGUUUGUAAUCCAAGAAACCAACAUUGCAUUGACGGUGUUCCAAUCAGAUUGGGUAUAUGGAGGUUGUGGUCCGGUGAUAGUGCCUUCCAAAAAUUCGAACUUGCGGCGUGCCUCCAAUGCCAACUGAAUAUCGGAAGCCCAAUCAUCGUAAUUGUCGCCGCGUAAGCGAGUGGAAGUGAUGAAGUCGCCUGGUCGGUCUCCUGUGCCGAGAAAAAAAGGUGAAUUCAUCU